UGAAGAUGAAGAUGAUCAUGUGGUGUACACUGCUUCUAUUUCUUUGUUCAAGCACAAAAGAGAUGGUUUUGGAUCAAACCCAGCCGUCCAGGGGUCUGAGAGUAGAGAUGAAAAACAAACAAAACAUCUUCCGGAACCUCAAAAGACACACAGACGGGAUGUUCACCAGUGACUUGACCAACUAUCUUGAUAAAAUGAAAGCUAAAAAUUUUGUGGAGUGGCUGGCCGCUAUCAAACAGCAAGAAUGCCAGGAGAAAGGAAUCGAAACUGCAGAGAAUGUAUAACGAUGAUUCAACUAACAUGAUUUUCCCCCAAAAUCCACAUGUUUAACUUUCAAUUGAAUAUGGAAUUGUUUUAAAUGUGGGAAUAAUUUGUUUUGGAGGUCGCUACUAUAAUCACCAUAAUUUGACCUUUAAGCAAACACACACAAUGGUAAUGCAAUAAAAUGAAAGUUUUUUUUGCUUGUUUGUUAUAUCUUCUUUCCUUAAUGUUGAAAUAAAUGAUUAUUUGCACUGAAAAGGAUCACCUUUAAAUAUCAUUUUAUUGUCAUUUCUCUUGCUGUGGCACAGAUUUUUGUAUGCAAUAAAAAAAUUUAUUGAAACAUGUGCUGUGAAUGUAUAAUUCGGACCACAUGUGGGCGCUGUUGCUUUGCUUAUUCUAGUGAUACACAAUGAGUAAUACAUUAUUUGAAGACGUAAAGCAGAUUAUGGGUGAAAAUAUGAUUUGUUUGUUUUAAAAUAUAAUUUGAAGUCCAAAUUAAAAUUCAAUGUUUGAAAUUGACCCUCAGAGAGAAGGUUAUAUCGUUUGUUUGUUUGUUAAAGAGUCUGUGCAUUUGGGAUUUCUGGAUUAUUUUUCAUUUUGAAAAGAAAGCUAAAAAAACAACAAACAAGAAGAAGGACUGAAAGCUAUUAAGCCUCUGACUAUGAUGGAGAACUACCUUGCUCUCCCUCCUCUGUCACUCUCUGGGGAAAGAAAGGAAACAGUGGAGGAAGGAAACAAACAGUAAACACUAAAAACUCCCAGAAUUCAAGAGGGCUGAACAGAUAGUUGACUCCCCAUCCUUGUGGCUACAAUUUCAGCUUAUUUUUGUUUUUACAAGGCUGUUGAAAAACAGAACAGAAAGAAAUUGAUAGUAAAAUAUAGAAAAAGGUAGAAUGGAGAUCGAUUGUAGAGAAAUAUUGGAGAACUAUGCAUGUUUUUUCUCGAAUCUGCUUGUUUUGGCCUAAAUAAGUCAGAUAAAUUGCCUCAUAGUGGCUCUAAAUGUUAUCCUCAUAGAAACAACAUGCUAAGUGGCAGCUCAUUUCAGGGAGGAGGGAGGAGGUGGUGGAGAAAAGCUC